rnacentral:rRNA from 1 species
AGCGAACGCUGGCGGCAGGCCUAACACAUGCAAGUCGAACGAACUCUUCGGAGUUAGUGGCGGACGGGUGAGUAACACGUGGGAACGUGCCUUUAGGUUCGGAAUAACUCAGGGAAACUUGUGCUAAUACCGAAUGUGCCCUUCGGGGGAAAGAUUUAUCGCCUUUAGAGCGGCCCGCGUCUGAUUAGCUAGUUGGUGAGGUAAAGGCUCACCAAGGCGACGAUCAGUAGCUGGUCUGAGAGGAUGAUCAGCCACAUUGGGACUGAGACACGGCCCAA